ACAAAAAGCUCAUAUUUGUUGGUUUUCUAAAAUUUAUUCAUUUUAGCAUUGCAUUGUAAUGCAGAAAGAGGACAUUACUGUGCAUACCACAAUGAGCUUCCCUUUGUUUUCUGGCUUCUUCGCUAGUUCAAGAGCAGCAACUGUGUUAGCCCCUGAUGAUAUUCCUACCUGCAAGAAAAGAAAAGAAAAGCUAGAAUGAUUGACCAGAAUCAAGAUUUUGCAUUCGCCAAGAUUACAACUAUUAUGACUGCACUCCGGUUUUGGAUUGAAGAAUAGAAGACUACCUUGACAUUAGCAGGAUUCUCAAACUGCUGCAGCAUGAAUGCACUGGGAUGGUUCUCAUACAGCUCAGCUGCCUUCCUGACUGUGCCUCCCAUACCUUUUGUUGGGUCUGUAAGGACCAGCUUCGCGCCGAAGGCCCUCAUGGUCACCCUCCUCUCAAGGCUGGUGUAUGAAGGCAUUGUGAGUAUGAGUUCAUACCCUUUAAGAGCAGCCAUGAAUGCCAGGCCAAUGCCCAUGUUCCCGGAUGUCGGCUCGAUCAGUGUGGUCUGUUCAACAAGCAGUUUUGUUAUAUAUGGUUACAGGUACUAAAUCAAGGUGAAGUGUUUGAUUUUGUUGCACAACAAUGUUAAAAACUGUUUUUUGCUGAAGCACAUGCCCUUGUAUUAUCGAAGACAAGAGCAGCAGAUCACUGACCUUGCCUGGGGUGAUCAACCUCUUCCUUUCAGCGUCUUCCAACAUUGACAGUGCUGGCCUGCAUCGCACCAGAAAUAAAAAAUCAAGCUCAGUCAUUUAUCUAUAUACUCAUGUGUUGCUUAUGCACAGAGAUCAUAUUGAUAAGAUGAAGUUGCUGCUAAUGAUAAGUAAUCAAGACAGAAGAUAGCAGGUAACUAAAUCACCUGUCUUUGACGCUGAAGGAGGGCUGCAAGAACUCGAGCUUCGCAGCAACCCGAGCUCCGCACCCUUCAGUGACCUUGUUCAGGAUCAAAUCAAAAGGCAAGAAGGAAACAAAACUGAUCGAAUCACCUGCGACGCAGUGUCCCUGAUCCUGAUCCCGGGCAAGACGCCAGGCGACUGAACCGGGUCGGCGACGGCUUCUUGCUGCAGGGUGGAGAAGCAUGGUGGAGCUCGCCUGGCCCGCCUCCUCAUCAGCCUCAUCAGCCUCAUCAGCGUCCUCUCCAUUGCCGGCGCUGAGGACGGUGGCAGGCGGCGGCGAGGCAGGGUUGGUCACUGCCGGCGGUGCUGGCCUCACUUCACUUCACUUCACUGGCGAUAUGAUGAUGAUAUGGCUCUGCAGCCCCGAGGAGUUUAUUUAUCGUGUGGCCAGUGAAAUAUAAAACAGAAGCAACAAAAUUGCAUGCAUGGUGGAAAAUUGUUCCUGUCCGGCUGCUAGGGCCAAUAAUCAUGCUACGACCAACGAUCGUAUGCUUGCUGGCAGAUGAUGAGCCGUGGUUGCUUUGGUCUCACAGUGGCGGCCAUUAGAUCCUAAUUUGCCAGAAAAAUCAUGUCAUACGCUUGUAAUUAUCUCGAUCCGUUCACAAAUAAUUUAAAUCGCGUAUGCGAAUGAACCAAUCUAAAUUCUAGUACCA